AAUUCAAGACCAGGCUGGGCUACAUAGUGAGUCUCAGGGAUUGAGCUCGGUUCCCUGCGCUAUGGAGGCAGGCGGCGAGACCACCACCCUCACUCGUUCAUUCUUCACCAACAGUUAGUACACGAUACCAGUGUGCCAAGACUUUUUGCUGGGCUCUGGAAAAACAGCCCUACAAGGCAGGCCAGAUCUGUCUUGUGCCCAGAGCCUGAUACUGGACCACAUCUGUGGAUACUCCAGGAAUUCUUCUAGCUACUGACCUAAAAUAUCAGCUAACGGCGAGUCUUUGUGAAGAGGAUUCACUGUAUCUCUUGUCCCAUUGUGUUUUGCUUCGUGGCA